UUAAGAUGGUCCAGUCAAAGAUGUAGUCGAACUCAAACCCUUCACGACUAAACAAGUCACGGAAUAAGCGCUUUAGAAAUCCAUAAUCCGGUCGUUGGUCAAAUGUCAAAGAAUGGCAGUAAUGGAAGUAGGAUGCGAAUUCAACAGGGUGAGUUUUGCAAAGGACCUCAAUAGGAGUUGAAAGCUUCUUCUCGCAUAUCUUAUCAUACUUUUGUU
rnacentral:misc_RNA from 1 species